UACGAAGGGGGCUAGCGUUGUUCGGAAUCACUGGGCGUAAAGGGCGCGUAGGCGGCUUUAUAAGUCGGGGGUGAAAGCCUGUGGCUCAACCACAGAAUUGCCUUCGAUACUGUAGAGCUUGAGACCGGAAGAGGUAAGUGGAACUGCGAGUGUAGAGGUGAAAUUCGUAGAUAUUCGCAAGAACACCAGUGGCGAAGGCGGCUUACUGGACCGGUAUUGACGCUGAGGUGCGAAAGCGUGGGGAGCAAACAGG
rnacentral:rRNA from 1 species